UCUACAUCUUUUCCUUUUGGUACAGCAUUAGAAACUCUCUGUCUGGUUUGUAGAAACAAAUUCUAGUAAUAAAUGCUGAUGUUUCAAGAUGCAAAGUAAAUGAGCUCAAAUCUCCACGUUCUCUGCUGCCUUCCUCUGUGACCUAUGUGCCCAGGGAGGAGAGAGAGUGACAGGCUCACCACACGCUCCUCUGCUUUUUGGAGACGCCUAACACAAAGGAGAAACUUUUAAUUGUUUCUGGGAAUUUGACAUCAAGAAGAAGUUUCCAGACAUACAACAAUGCAGAAUGUACUGUCACUGUGUCACCAUGGAAGUGAUUGUGUCACUCCUUGGGGAGGUGAGGUCACAGCAUCAUCUAUGCUUAUCUGUGUGUCUGACCUUCUCUCCCAUGUCGCGGUCUGUGUACCUGUCAGCCUGAAGUCUCCAUCCAUGCAGCACAGCAGAGACAGUUACUGAACACAAUGGGAUAUCUUACCUCAUCCAACUCUCCUCAUAAAAUGUGAAGGAGAAGCAGAGAAACAAAAUGUUCCUCUAACUUGAGUCCAGUGUGCUUGAUGGAGUCUGCAACUACAUGUGUAUUGACAAGGUAUGGAGUACAAGACAGUAUGAGUAUUUUUGAUAAUGCUGUGCAAAUUUCCUCUUAAUGUUACAAAAAACCACAUUAAGGCCUUCAGUCUUUGGAAC